rnacentral:lncRNA from 1 species
GCACUGCACUACUGAUUUAUGGAGACAUAGACAGUAUCUGCCUGAAAUCUCUUUGGUCAGUCCUUCAGCUGAGGAGAAACAGCUGCCUGCUGAGGAGAAGACAAGACUGCCCUAGGACUUGUUUCCAAAGUCCUCUGCUGCUACAAAAGGCACUUCUCCUUCUAGACUUGACUGGCAGAGUGGUUCUGGAGCUUGGCUGCAUCCUCUUCCACAGAGAAGGUUAUAAAAAGAAAGCCCAAACUUCAAACCAACCAAAAAAACCCCUUGAAACUAAACUCGAUUUCUGACUCCCCUUUGAAACGGAAGUAAUUUUCUUUCCAUGUAGCUCUACCAAUCGUCCUCUUUGCUGUCUGUUACAUUAAACUAUGCUACUCCGAUGUCUUCUCGAG